UGGGGCUAAUCCCCGAUAGACGAGAACUCCUGGAACGGGUUCUCAUCCAAAAGGCGUUAGGGUCAUGCUCCUUAACGUCGCUCAAGGAUGGGGCCGCGGCCGAUCAGGUAGUUGGUGAGGCAACGGCUCACCAAGCCUUUAACCGGUACGGGCCGUGGGAGCGGGAGCCCGGAGAUGGGAACUGAGACAAGGUCCCAGGCCCUACGGGGCGCAGCAGUUGCGAAAACUCCGCAAUGCACGAAAGUGUGACGGGGCUACCCCGAGUGCCGUCCGCUGAGGAUGGCUUUUCUCCGCUGUAAGGAGGCAGAGGAAUAAGGAGAGGGCAAGUCUGGUGUCAGCCGCCGCGGUAAUACCAGCUCUCCGAGUGGUAGGGAUGAUUAUUGGGCUUAAAGCGUCCGUAGCCUGCCCUUCAAGUCUCUCGUUAAAUCCAGCGAUUCAAUCGUUGGACUGCGGGAGAUACUGUUGGGCUAGGGGGCGGGAGAAGCCGACGGUAUUUCCGGGGUAGGGGUAAAAUCCUAUAAUCCCGGGAAGACCACCAGUGGCGAAGGCGGUCGGCUAGAACGCGCUCGACGGUGAGGGACGAAAGCUGGGGGAGCAAACCGGAUUAGAUACCCGGAUAGUCCCAGCUGUAAACGAUGCGGGCUAGGUGUUGGAGCGGCCACGAGCCGCUUCAGUGCCGCAGGGAAGCCAUUAAGCCCGCCGCCUGGGGAGUACGGCCGCAAGGCUGAAACUUAAAGGAAUUGGCGGGGGAGCACCACAAGGGGUGAAGCUUGCGGUUCAAUUG
rnacentral:rRNA from 1 species